rnacentral:rRNA from 1 species
CAGCAGUAGCCGCGGGAAUACGGAGGGAGCUAGCGUUGUUCGGAAUUACUGGGCGUAAAGCGCGCGUAGGCGGUUACUCAAGUCAGAGGUGAAAGCCCGGGGCUCAACCCCGGAACUGCCUUUGAAACUAGGUGACUAGAAUCUUGGAGAGGUCAGUGGAAUUCCGAGUGUAGAGGUGAAAUUCGUAGAUAUUCGGAAGAACACCAGUGGCGAAGGCGACUGACUGGACAAGUAUUGACGCUGAGGUGCGAAAGCGUGGGGAGCAAACAGGAUUAGAUACCCCUGUAGUCCCUGUCUCUUAUAC